UAUUGUAACUACUAAGAGCCACUUCACCUAAAAUUAGGUCAUUGAAUGGGACCUCGAAAUUAGGAGGAAAGUGCUCUAAAUGAGGUAGUUUUGCGGUUCCAUUUUGGUAUUGCACAGAUAAAAAUAUUUUGUGAUUUUACAUUUAUUUUCAUGCACAUAUUUGGAGCAGGCAAUUGAAUGUAAAUAUUCAGUCUUGUUCAAUGAAAAACUAAAUGAAAUUUCAUGUAAUUUUACAUCAAUCAUGGUUUUAAAUCAGAUUUUCGUUUCAACUUAUGUUGCGACCCCUUGGUCGGCGCGCCCAACAAGAACGAACCGACAGAAGAAACCAUCAAAACAUUCCCGCGCUGAUAACUGUCAUACGAGUAUCAGAAACAUACACGUGAUACGCACUAUUCACUUGUUGCAACUAAGUGUGCUUUGAUUUCAUGCUAAAAUAUAGUUAAACUGGUAGCGGAAUUUGAUAAACGUGUCAGGAGAGCUUGGUUAAAUGUGCACAAGGUUAGGUUAACCCAAUGAUAGUCACGAUCGUUCCUAUUGGUGCAAUUGAAAGGUUAUAUAAUCGCAAACGGAGAGGAGUAUAAAAAAACUAAACGAAGUUUUUAAUCAAUCAUAUUGAAGUAAAUAAACGAUUAAAAAUCUCGGAACCGCUUGAUUCUUCUCCAAAAGCAACAACUUAUGUCUAUUUCAUAGUACUAUCGGUGUACAUGUUGUGUAAAUUUCAUCUUUUCUUUCUGUGUAGAGUGAAUAU